UUAUGGCUCAGGAUGAACGCUGGCGGCGUGCUUAACACAUGCAAGUCGAACGAUGAUCCCAGCUUGCUGGGGGAUUAGUGGCGAACGGGUGAGUAACACGUGAGUAACCUGCCCUUGACUCUGGGAUAAGCCUGGGAAACUGGGUCUAAUACCGGAUAUGACUCCUCAUCGCAUGGUGGGGGGUGGAAAGCUUUUGUGGUUUUGGAUGGACUCGCGGCCUAUCAGCUUGUUGGUGGGGUAAUGGCCUACCAAGGCGACGACGGGUAGCCGGCCUGAGAGGGUGACCGGCCACACUGGGACUGAGACACGGCCCAGACUCCUACGGGAGGCAGCAGUGGGGAAUAUUGCACAAUGGGCGCAAGCCUGAUGCAGCGACGCCGCGUGAGGGAUGACGGCCUUCGGGUUGUAAACCUCUUUCAGUAGGGAAGAAGCGUAAGUGACGGUACCUGCAGAAGAAGCGCCGGCUAACUACGUGCCAGCAGCCGCGGUAAUACGUAGGGCGCAAGCGUUAUCCGGAAUUAUUGGGCGUAAAGAGCUCGUAGGCGGUUUGUCGCGUCUGCUGUGAAAGACCGGGGCUCAACUCCGGUUCUGCAGUGGGUACGGGCAGACUAGAGUGCAGUAGGGGAGACUGGAAUUCCUGGUGUAGCGGUGAAAUGCGCAGAUAUCAGGAGGAACACCGAUGGCGAAGGCAGGUCUCUGGGCUGUAACUGACGCUGAGGAGCGAAAGCAUGGGGAGCGAACAGGAUUAGAUACCCUGGUAGUCCAUGCCGUA
rnacentral:rRNA from 1 species